GGCGUCACGCGAGGCGUGCGUGCGUGUUUGUGACUGAACUAUGUGUUUUUAAGGAAGCCGUGGUGUUAGCGCCUGCGCAAUCUCAUUCGUGCGGUAGUACAUUUGGAUAGUUUUUAUCUGUGGCUGCUGUUGUAACUUCAAAACAACGCAAGGCAACUCUUUUACCCCUGUCCUUCGCGGCUUUGUGGAUCUAUCAGCAUGCAUCGAUGUGCAGCGUUUUCCCCGGCGCCGAUUUACCAUUUCGAGGUUUUUUUAACCACUUCCUCAAAAGGACGUCCUUUGGUUGAAGUCAACGAAAAGCUCUCAAUCAAGAUUGCAGGUGGCUACAUCGAAUGACACUUUGUAGACUGCAUCAAAUAAACAUUUGAUGAUGA